AGUGAACGCUGGCGGUAGGCCUAACACAUGCAAGUCGAACGGCAGCACAGAGGAGCUUGCUCCUUGGGUGGCGAGUGGCGGACGGGUGAGGAAUACAUCGGAAUCUACUCUGUCGUGGGGGAUAACGUAGGGAAACUUACGCUAAUACCGCAUACGACCUACGGGUGAAAGCAGGGGACCUUCGGGCCUUGCGCGAUUGAAUGAGCCGAUGUCGGAUUAGCUAGUUGGCGGGGUAAAGGCCCACCAAGGCGACGAUCCGUAGCUGGUCUGAGGGGAUGCUCAGCCACACUGGAACUGAGACACGGUCCAGACUCCUACGGGAGGAAGCAGUGGGGAAUAUUGGACAAUGGGCGCAAGCCUGAUCCAGCCAUACCGCGUGGGUGAAGAAGGCCUUCGGGUUGUAAAGCCCUUUUGUUGGGAAAGAAAUCCAGCUGGCUAAUACCCGGUUGGGAUGACGGUACCCAAAGAAUAAGCACCGGCUAACUUCGUGCCAGCCGCCGCGGUAA
rnacentral:rRNA from 1 species